CAGUGCUCAUCAUCUCAUCUCCACGAGAGAUGCUGCUUCUCAUCUGUGUUAGUAGCAACAUGGGUGAAGAUGUGUGUGAGAAGAGCUUUAGCACGAAGCAAACCCUCAGACUGACUCUCAAUCUUCACAGCAAUCAGGAACUGACUCUUCACUGAGAUUUCAGAUGAAAAAUGUUGUAAUUCCUCCUGGAUCACAAAUCUAGCAAGUAGAUAAGCAAAUGCCCUUACAGCCACAGCAUGAGGAGGACAAAGCACAGUGUCCCUGGCUGUGCAUUUCUUUCCAGCUCCACUGGACGUUUGCCUGUCUUCCCAGAUAGGCUGACGCUGUAAGACAUCUCCUAACAACAGAACAACAGAUGUCAGCACUUGUAGGGCUUUGACGGGCCCAACUUCCUAAUAGCAAUCAUUUUAAAACUCAAAUAAGUCUGAAGCAGAGACACGACCCAGGUCUCCGACACAGCUGCUGAUUGAUCAGGACACUGAACAAGCCCGCCCGUCAGUAGCAGCAUCACCGAGGCCCACUUUUAAUCAGCAAGCCCAGAAUGCCUCAUCUUCCUUUUCUGAAAUACCUUUUAAACAGUAUCCAGAUCAUUUUCCCUGGUCAGAAGGGACACCUUCAGUGGAAGCUGUGAAGGCACAGAGGUGGGCCUUGGUCAGGUGGGCCAGUGGGAGCAGCAGCAGGUCUGAGGGGCAGGUCAGCUGUGGCCACUGGGGACCUAAAGGAUCCUUUGGGGUCCUUGUCCUCUCACCUACUGCUGGUGGUCUGUGGUGUAAAGUAACCAUCACGGCCGACGGGCUAGACUGUGCCCCUAAACAAAGAAACCUGUUUCUUCAGCGCUUCCCUUCAGAGAGGGCAGGGCACACUGAGAUAAAGUUUGUAACUCUGUGACUGAUGCAGAGUGAUGUUUGGUAGAGACCAAUGUAAUAUUGGAACGCAAUUAUCCUUCAAUUAAAAGUGAAUAAAUUAAAAAAAAAAAAAAAAAGGCCUGCAGACUUUUCACUGUCCAC